rnacentral:rRNA from 1 species
UACAGAGGUCUCAAGCGUUGUUCGGAUUCAUUGGGCGUAAAGGGUGUGUAGGUGGCGCCGUAAGUCGGGUGUGAAAUUUCGGAGCUUAACUCCGAAACUGCAUUCGAUACUGGCGGUGCUUGAGGACUGGAGAGGAGACUGGAAUUCAUGGUGUAGCAGUGAAAUGCGUAGAGAUCAUGAGGAAGACCAGUGGCGAAGGCGGGUCUCUGGACAGUUCCUGACACUGAGGAGCGAAAGUGUGGGGAGCGAACAGG